rnacentral:rRNA from 1 species
AUUGAACGCUGGCGGCAGGCUUAACACAUGCAAGUCGAGCGAGCGGCGGACGGGUGAGUAAUGUCUGGGAAACUGCCUGAUGGAGGGGUAUAACUACUGGAAACGGUAGCUAAUACCGCAUACCAUCAGAUGUGCCCAGAUGGGAUUAGCUAGUCGGUGGGGUAAUGGCUCAACUAGGCGACGAUCCCUAGCUGGUCUGAGAGGAUGACCAGACACACGGGAACUGAGACACGGUCCAGACUCCUAAGGGAGGGAGCAGUGGGGAAUAUUGCACAAUGGGCGAAAGCCUGAUGCAGCCAUGCGGCGUGGGUGAAGAAGGCCUUCGGGUUGUAAAGUACUGUCAGCGGGGAGGCGUUACCCGCAGAAGAAGCACCGGCUAACUCCGUGCCAGCAGCCGCGGUAAUAC